rnacentral:rRNA from 1 species
UUGAUCCUGGCUCAGAAUCAACGCUGGCGGCGUGCCUAACACAUGCAAGUCGAACGAGAAAGCGGGGGCAACCCCGUGAGUAAAGUGGCGACCGGGUGAUUAACACGUGACUAACCUGCCCUUGAGUGGGGGAUAACCUCGGGAAACCGUGGCUAAUACCGCAUAACAUCCUGUGGGUGCAAUUCCCGUUGGAUCAAAGUAGCAAUUCGCUGAAGGAGGGGGUCGCGGCCGAUUAGCUAGUUGGUAGGGUAAUGGCCUACCAAGGCGACGAUCGGUAGCCGGCCUGAGAGGGCGCACGGUCACACUGGAACUGAAACACGGUCCAGACUCCUACGGGAGGCAGCAGUGGUGAAUUUUGCGCAAUGGGGGAAACCCUGACGCAGCAACGCCGCGUGGAGGUUGAAGUCCCUUGGGACGUAAACUCCUUUCGACCGGGAAGAUAAUGACGGUACCAGUGGAAGAAGCCCCGGCUAACUUCGUGCCAGCAGCCGCGGUAAUAUGGU